GACGGAGGUGGCAAACGCUGUUCGGAAUCACUGGGCUUAAAGGGCGUGUAGGCGGCCGAUCAAGUCGGGUGUGAAAUCCCUCGGCUCAACCGAGGAACUGCAUUCGAUACUGGUUAGCUAGAGUGCGAGAGGGGUGAGUGGAACUCCAGGUGUAGCGGUGAAAUGCGUAGAUAUCUGGAGGAACGCCGGUGGCGAAAGCGACUCACUGGCUCGCAACUGACGCUGAGGCGCGAAAGCUAGGGGAGCGAACGGGAUUAGAUACCCGCGUA
rnacentral:rRNA from 1 species